UACGGAGGGUGCGAGCGUUGUCCGGAAUCAUUGGGCGUAAAGGGCGCGUAGGUGGCGCGGUAAGCGUGCGGUGAAAGCCUGGGGCUCAACCCGGGUCGGCCGUGCGAACUGCUGGGCUUGAGCACUGUAGAGGCAGGCGGAAUUCCGGGUGUAGCGGUGGAAUGCGUAGAGAUCCGGAAGAACACCGGUGGCGAAGGCGGCCUGCUGGGCAGUUGCUGGAC
rnacentral:rRNA from 1 species